GUGAGAAAAACUAAGUACAGCCAAGAAAGAAAACUGUUUAUUUUAGCUUUUAAAUCUUGUUUAUAACAAUUUAACCUUUUCAGCCAUUCUGAAAAUUGCCAAAAUAUGGAUGGGGAAUGCAGCCAGACAUUUGCCAUGGGGUUUUUCCCAUGAUCACCUUGUACAGCUACAAUAAAUUCCUAUGGAAUCUCCUGGAGAUCACAGUGGGAACCAGCUGGAGAAAGCUGCAGUGAAUGCCAGAGCACUGCAUACUGAUGGGAGUUGGAUGUGCAAGUGUUCUCCCUCCACUAAACAAUGUCUAGUGGAGUCUCAUAUUCAUUUAUUACAACUUUGUAAUUUGACCUUGACAGCUUGUAAAUUUUCAGGACACUAUUCUUAAAAGCAAUUCAGUUGUGUUAGGCUUUCAAAUCACUGGUUUCAUGACUGGACUUUAUGGGCAAAGGUACAUGUUUCAAAUAGCUUUUGUGUAAAAUCCCUGCAGGCUAUGCCAAAGGCAAACUAAUGACCACUGGUGGAGCUGCAAAUGGAAUCGGAUAAUAUAUUGAUACCAGCAGUAAACAGUAUUCGAUUUUAACAGCAACUAGUAUAGAAUAACAUGUCUAAUUUAAUUGAUGAACCUAAUUUAAACAUUGGAGAGACUUGACACAGAAAAACUAGUUGCUGUGUUGUUCCUGCACUUUUAUUUUCUGCCCAUCAGAAAAGAGGAAGGAUGUUACAGCAGUUCAUGUUAAUUUGUUCAUCUGCUUAUGCUGUUGGUAUUUCUUGCCUGAUCAUGGCACUUUUGCAAGUAAUUCUAGCUGCUCUUAAUCCUGAUUCAAAUAAACAAUUGAUUUUCUUCUUAUAAUUUAUUAUCAUUGAUCAGAGUGCAAAUAACACAUUUUUGCUUUUUGCACUUUGUACAGCCAUAGCUAAAGUUACCAACCUUUUUCUAUUUCUCUCUGCAGGGAAGACCUGUGGCUCCAGAAGUGCAAAUUCUCUUUCUUUGUGAGCAGCUUUGCCCACACAAGUAAAUCAAGUAAGUAAAUUCACAUGCUCAAGACCUUGGGACAAGCUGGGACCAGGAUGAUUGUGUACAGCUCAACUCAAAAGUUUCUAAUUAUCUUUUUCCUUGUGGUAGACAUUUUUAAAGAUUUUCAAACUAUUUAUAUUAAUAAUUGAGAAAGCUGAGGGUCUGAGCCUGCCUGAACUGCAGUUCUAGUAUAAUUUUGAAAGAGAACAAGGGGUCUUUACUAGGAACAAACAAAAAUAUCUAGAUUUCUUUUUUUGGGGGUAUUUGAAUGAUGACCUUAUGAAGUAUAUUGAAAUGAAAGAAACAUUGUCCAAAGAUUUUGUACAAAAUAAAAUAAGCAUUAGUAACUUCUGACUCAUUUUCAGGCUUUAUAGGCCUGUCUUGCUUUACGUGUACCUUUGCUAAAUGAAAAUGGUCACUAUAUUGUUGUAAAACCUAGUUAAAUGGGAAAAUUUCACUCUGGUAAACACUGAAAGACAAAAUGUGCCAUAAAACAUAAAUAUAUUCACUAGGAAAUACCUUUUAUUGACUUAUAAGAAAAAUAUUUCUGACUUUUAUAGGAAGAAUAAUAUUAAUGCUUUUUAUUUUUUAAUAUUCCUUUGUGCUGGUUAAGUGUGGCUUUUGCCUGGCUUUCGGUAUCAAACUUCUCCAAGAACUCCAAAUCCUGUACAGAACUAGAAUCCCCCCAGUCACUGAGAGUGAAAGGGAGGAGGUGUUUGACUUCUGUGACCCCCAAAUAAGGGAUCAGUCAGGCUUCCAAGAGCAGCCCCUUCCUCCAGCUGAGUUGGAAUUGUGUUUGUGGGUCAAGAUGAUGUUGAUGAACAAAGCAGCACUGCAGAACAAUCAAACCCUGCAUCAGCUGCUCCCAUGGCAUUUUUGGUGGGCAACAUUUUUCUUAGUGAGGCUCUUCUGUGUGUGCUUGGAUACCUGCAAAGCCCAGCAAUGCCAGGGGAUUCCUGAGCUUUAGCAAAGUAGCUUUUAACAAAGCAUUUGCAGAUAAAGUUAGGUUUGUUAAAUCAGAAAAGGGGUAACAAAGAUCUUGAUGACCAUCUGGUUUUAAUGAUAGCAGGAACUGGCACAGGAAUGGGAAUUCUCCUGCAAUGCUUCACUUAUAGGAUCAGAAUUUUCUGACCAAAAAAAAAAAAAAAAAAAAAAAAAAAAAAAAAAACUUAGAUUAGGGAAAUUCUUUUAUAGCUCUACUAUUUCUGUUUCCCAAACUGUGCCUAAUGAAAAGACAGAUGACAAUUAUUUCCGUUCUGAAAAUUGGAAUUUGCAACACUCAGAGUCUUUUUCCCUUCACAAAUCUACACUGAGAUAUUGAUAAUCGGGAUACUGAUACAUAUAUGCUAUUUGAGACAACACUUAAAACCACAAGUAUUUCAGGCUUAGUAGCAGUAAAAAAAAAAAAAACAAAAAUUACUCUGAAUCAUCAAUAGCUGAAAGUAGAAAUUCUUUGCAUGCAUGCUGAGAAAAAAUAGAUUUGGAGUGGAAACAUUUUUGACAAGUAUGAGUCUAACAGUAUUUGAAGUAGAUGAGAUAUUGAUUCCCCAAAAUAAGUAAAUAAAUUCAAAUGCCCAACCAUUUUAAACUUCAAAACUAUCUGCAAAGUUAACAAUGUCACACUUAGAAAACUGAUAACAAAAAAUGUCCUUUCUAUACAAUUGCCAUGAAAAAUGAUUUCUCUCAGUUUUCCUUUCUGAGGACAGUAGCAGGCAUGGCUGGAGAAAAAGUGCACAACCUCAGGAGUGGUUCCUGGACUUUGAGGUCCAGGUCAGAUCAAUUUGAUAAACAAAGAUGUUAAAAAAUCUGCAGUUAGUGUCCAGACUGGCUACUAAAAUAGCAACAACAGCAAAAAAACCAACAAAAAAAAUCCAAAACCUCCAUCAAAUCUCACUCAGGCUGGAGUUUCAACCCAUUAACUGGACUGUCCCUGGGAAGUGAAUACAGUUAAUUUGGUAGCACACACUCGAUGAGAGAAAUGAGGAGAUGUGUUCAGACUGACAGCGGGUCUGAGCAGUGCUGCACGCUCCGUGUUCUCCAGCAGUGAAUCUGUUCCAGCCCACAAAGGUGUGUUCAAGCCCUAAGCUGGUGUCCUUUGCCUUUCAGCUGCAUUUUGUGCCUCACACCAAGCUCCAUGCUCUCGGGCUGUAAAGCUCAAAAGGAGCUGUUGGCACCUAGCUGCCCUGGCUCGUGGCAGCAGCACUUUUAUUAGCAUUUUUAUUAUUCCUCUGCAGGAUCCCACUGCUCAUGCAGAGUUUGUGUGCAAUAACUCAGCUUGCAGCUAGGCAGUGAUUUGGAUUCAGCAGCAGCUCUGAUUUGAAAUCCAUGAGCCAACAGCCCUGUAGGUCACAGCUGCCCUCAGCUCUGCAAGGCUCAGUGCUGCUUCAUUCCUGCCCCCAAGGGCUCAGCAAACUCCAAGCACAUCCCCAGGUGUGCAGAAAUGUCUCCAUAUACGUUCUCAAAAUCUUAAAAAAAAAAAAAGUAGGUGCAAGUAUAGACAUAAAUGAAAGGUUUCAAUUAAGACCUUAGAACAGACGAGACUUAUCAGAACAAUAAAUAGUAACAGUGGUAAUUCACAUGUCCUCUGAACAGAAAGAGACUUGGCUUUCUCAGGAUUUCUCCUGAAAGAAGCUGUGAGAGAAGAAGAGAAAAAAGAAUAGAAACAAUUCUUAUUUCAUUUGCUACUCCCUGGAAUGAGGAAUGUGAUCUGGGGAUUGUUUAGCCAAGGUGAUUGCUUGAUUGGAGUCUGGUGAGGGCGUUUUGGGUUCAUUGACCAACUGGAUCCACGUGUGUGUCGGGACUCUCAGGAGAGAGUCAUGGGCUUUCUAGUUAGUUAGAAGUUAUAUAGUUCUUGUUAGUGUAACAUAUUUUUAGUAUAAUACAGUAUAAUAAAGUAUAAUAAUAAAUAACAAAGGAUACAAUAAUAAUAUAAUAAAGUAUAAUACAGUAUAAUAAAAUAAAAUAUAAAUUAGUCUUCUGAAAUCAUUGGAGUCCUGCACAUCAUUCUUCCCACUGGCCGGGCAUCGUAGCACCAAUAAGUAGCUACAACCAAAUUUGCCUUACAUCCUUUGAAUAGACCAAAUCUUUUAUAGCAUUAAAAUUGCUGGAGUGUAAAAUAGCAACACUUAAAGCAAGCAAGAAAAGUGCCAUAAGCAAAAAGAGCUACACUGAGUAGUGAGAGACUUUAAAUUUUGCUGAUGGGCCUUUGUGUAGAAAACUUGUAACGCUGUUUUGCUAAAUAAAAAAAUAUGUACUAUAGUAGGGCUAUGUAACACAAAGUAGUUAAUAAAUGACAAAGUUAAGAGAGUUUCUUUGCAGUUGUACUGAGAGGGGGAAUUGUGGGAAACAUAGUAAAGGUAAGAAGACUUUCAGAAGGAUGUGAAAGCAGGCCUCAUAGAAAGAGCAGAGAACUUAGAGCUGCUAAGUCAGAAAGUAGGAAAGUUACAAUAGUACAGCAAGCAAGGACAUGAAACAAUAGAUUGAGUUUUAGGCUUGGCUAAGAUAGACCUUAAGACUGCAGAAAAAUAUGCUUAGCAAGAUAGUAGAAGGUUUCAAGCUUAAUAAUGAAGUAUUGUGUAUUGUUAAUAGAAAGAAGACAAGCAAGCAUUGUGUGAAGUAGGUGUACAUGUGCUUUUAGUGAUUAGCUAGAACAAUUGACUGUAAGCUUUAGCAAUAUGCUAUUGGCUAGAAAGUUUUUUAAAUGAUCUGUAACAGAGAAAUCUUUGGCAGAACAUGAGCAAUUGUCUCAACCAUGUAAUGAGGCUGAUGCUGCAAUAAAGCUCAAGGAACUUAUCCCAGCAGUCCCCUCCUGUUUGUGCAAACCUCCAACACAUAUAUCUGUCAGUUCUCCGACCAGAGCUCAGGGUUGGGAUGGAAAGAAGGGGAAAGGAGGGAGAGAGAGAGAAUGAAAAUUGCCAAUAAAGCUCAGUAAUGUGAGAGGGACAUAUCAUGUAGCUGAGCUGAAAGGCUCAAUUAGUUCUCCCAGGUUUAUUUCAUUCAAGGACUGCAGAAGCAUUUCAGCUGCAGCACCAAGAGCAACCAGGAGGCUUUGCAGGAGCAGGUUUUGGGAGCAGGGGAGCUGCAGGGGUGGCUUCUGUGAGAAGCUGCCAAAAGCUUCCUCCAUGUCCAGCAGAUCCAGUCCCUGGUGGCUCCCAGGGUGGGCGUGCUGCUGGCCAAGGCUCAGCCCAGCAGGAAUGGUGGGAAUGCCUCUGUGAUAACAGAGUUAAUAAGAAGAAAAAGUUGUUGCUCAGAUGUAAUUGUGGCCAGAGAAGAGCAGGAUGAGAACAUGUGAGAGGAACAGCCCAGCAGACACCCAGGUCAGUGCAGAAGGAGGGGUAGGAGGUGCUGUGCUCCAGCUGAUAACUGGUCAAAGAUGAGACCUGAUGAUCAUAGAGGAUUUUUCUAACUUGAAUUAUUCUUUAUUACUAAGUUUAGUUAUUUAGCAAACUGAACAUAAUAUACAAUGAAAGAGAAAGCAGUUUUGAAUCUUAAAAAUGUCAUCUCUUCUAAAUUAAAAGCACAGCCCUGGCCUAUACAAAAGUAUAAGAUGUCACAGAAAGACAAGCAAGUGUUGUGGAAAGAUAUACCUGUAUGCAAAUAUAGUGCAGGUUAUGUGGAAAGACAAAAGUAAAUCAAAUAAAAUCCAUUUAAAAUAUAAACUACCACUGCAGUUCUUCUGGAGAAGGGGUGGAUAAGGAGCAGGAGGAAUAGAAUUAAAAUGUGAACCACUUCUAAAUCCCUCCUUGUGGCCUUGAGUUCACUCUCCACUUGUUAGGGGUGUGUGGUAUUGAUUUCCCCGCCCUGGCAGGCCAUUAUGGAUGAAGCAGAGGUGCACUCUGACAUGCUCAGUGCUGGGAAUUGUGAGCAGCCUUUUGAAAUGUUCCUACCAGGUGGCUGCAGCUUUGCAAACCACCUGCUGCAAGGCUGAGCCCUUCUGGCUCUGCUUUGGGCAGACUUCUGGAUUUAGCUUAUCAAUAGGCUAUCAGUGUAUCCAGGGACUUGUUUAGAUUGUGUCUGAUAAAAAUGGAAAGAAAAAAAAAAGGACAAGAAUUUGCAUUUAUGAACUUGGAAAACAAAGUUAAUAAGCGGAGCUGAAUAGUUCCUACAGAGCCCUGUGAAGGUUCUGUGGCCGCGGUGAAAAAUCCAGAGUUCACACUUACACGCUUAAAUUUGAGUGUACUGUAAGACACCUGAUGAAUCAUGCCCUUGGAAUAUAAAAGCUUUCUGUUGACUUUUUCUCCCUUCAGCUCCAAAAAUUGAAGUUGCUGUAUCUCAGUUUCUGACAUGUGGUCUUCUCAGAAAUACAUUUUCCCAAAAAGAGAGUUAAGGCAGGCAAGCAUUUCAGGUAUUCUUCUUCAAUAAUCUCUCAUGAAAAACUACAAAUUUUCUGUCAUUGACUCACUGUAAAGCAACUCUGGAUUUAUUGUGGCUAGUAAGCCUCAAGGAUAAGUACACGUUCAAUUGUGAAAUAUGAAACAGAAAUGAAAAAGGAAAAAUAUCCAUCCAAAACAUAUCAGCAAGCACUGGCUAUCAAACCAGGGCUACUGUGUGUCAGAGUGUGGUUUUCUGGGAGUGUGCUGGUAAAUGGUCUCUGUAUAGAGAUUUUAUAAAGUACAACUCAAAGUAGGACAAUGAGCAGGCAGAAUAAUAGGGAUUUUUUUUUCUUCAUCAGAAUUGGAGGAAUGUAAAAAAGAGAAAUCUGACACUUUUUUGGUUUGUUAAGUUUUUGUUUCCUUGAAGAGUAGGAAUCUGUCUCUCUGGCUUGUUGCCUACAUCUUGCUACAAUGCACAACAUUUUAAUUACAUGGUCUCUUUGCAGGCACUUCAACUCUGAUGUAUUUCAGAAGGUUUUAUACCUUUGAAAAGCUGGUGUUCAGCAUCUUCACAUCCACUAGAUGUCACUCAAUAGUCAUAAUUUCCAGCAGUGACACAACACACACAUACCCACACACAAAAAAAAAUAAAAGGCAAAAAAUAUUUUUUUUCUUCAGACUCAAAACAAAUUUCUUUCAAAAAAUUUUAUUCACUGUUUAAAGUUAAUGUGUGGUGUCUGAAAGGUUUUCAUCAUCACUUCAAAAAUUAAAACUUUUAGAUUAUUCCAUUAGAAGCCCUGGUUGCCACCUGGAAUUUAUAUAUUCCUUUAACAUAGUUCUUUCAAAGAGAAAAAUUGAAAAGGUAAUUUUCAAGGUGGUGGACUUGAUGUUAAUGGAUAAUUGUGCCUCUGGACCAUGACCACACAACAUUUUGAUCUGCGUGAUGCCUAAUGAUAUUUAUCUUCAGUGAUAUUUUUUAGCUUUUAUGUCUAUACUCUGUGGGGUUUUGCCCUUAGGAGUUGCAUUGAAUCCAUAACCCCCAAAACAGCCAGGAUGGAUGGAAUUUCUCUUACUCUGCUUGCAGUGGUGAGUUUUUACCUGGGCAUUCUCUAGCUCCCAAUUCCAGUUCUUACAUGCUGUCAGAACCACAAUCACAUCACAAUGCAGCAGGCUUUUCUUCAGAAACUAAACAAAGAAAAAAAUUUCUAGCCCUCAAAAGAUUUCCUUGUCUUUUUCCGCACUUCCUCGAGCUUCCUGGAGACAGAUGAGAGGAGGACCAGGGGAGUCCCUGAAGAAUCCACCAGACUCUGGAUGCCCAGAGGGGGCACUAAGGGAAAGUCAGGAAGGAUCUCAGCAAAUCUCACUGAAGACUUAAAGCAGUAGCCCCCAAGGAAGCACAGCCUGAGGCCACAGGAUACAACAACUGGAAGUGCACAUCAUUUUAAUCCAAACCACAAAACUGCAUUUGCUCUCAGCAUAAGGACUUUAUAAUCAACACAGAUGCGAAGACAUCCAUAUAAAGAAUCAGAAAAUCUGAAACCAAAUUUUCAGUGACCGCCACAAGGCUUCUCUCAAGACAAGACUCAGCUACCACCCCUGGGGACCCUGAAAGCUCACACCAGGUUGUUCCCUGUGCAAGGGAUGAGAUCCAGACUAAUCCUGGCCAGGUAACCACAGCAAGCACACACAGGCAAGCUCUUCACAGGUCCAGACACCAGAGGGGGAAGACACUUCACAAAAUAAUUGCAAAUGUAAUUUCUCAGGACACCCUUCUUUCCCACCUCCCACCUCCUUUGGAGCAAUGUGGCAGAGCCACACUCUGUGAAAUAAGUAUCUCAGACCAGAGAGACUUCUCAAUCUGUGCUUAUCUUAGGUAGCUAUUUCUAAUCUUAAAGCCUGUAAUAGCAGACCAUCAAAUUUCCCAUUGUUUUUAGAGAACUCGGAGAAGAAAAAAAUUAAUUCAAAAUUCAAACAUAUAAGUGUUCCUAACAGCUUUAAGAGGAAGGACUUCAGCCUCUAAAUUAACUCAAAACCUACAAUAAUUACACAAAAUGGAUUAGAAUAUUAUGAAAACCUGAAUUGUCUUCUUAAGAACUGCAAAAUUGAUUAUAAAGGAGAUGUUGUCAAAAGGACUACUCUGCUAAAAGUCUUUCUUUUAAAAGGCAACAGGUUGGUGAGCACAAAUUCAAAGCAGCUUUUAAGGAGCACCCUGAAACUCUUACACUGCUGAUCUUUGUACAUAGGCAACAGAGAUCCAUACAAUAGGGAGUGCUUGAUGCUAACUAGUGUUAAAAGGAUAGUUCUAAAAUUUAGAUUUACGGAUGAUUUCAUUAGUUGGUCACUGAGCAAGGUGUACAGCAGAUAUUAAAAGUCUAUCUGUACUCGAACUACAAAAGAAAAUCUCCUAAUCCUUCUUUUGGUUAGGCAAAUGUGUAUCUUUUUUUCCAUACUCUGCAUCUUUGCAGCAGUAAGUGGCAAGGGUAAUUAAGUAGUAGUUAGGAAUCUGCUGAGUGUUGCAUGUCCUUAAUGUGCUUUACGGAAAUUCUAGCAUUACAGAUGCAUAGCAUUCCUAUUACUUGAUAAUUGCAUUUUAAAAUCUGGCAUUUUAAUUAUGCUAAUAUGCAUGGGGUUAUAUUUUAAAUUUAGUACCUUAUUUUAUGUUCCAAGUGCUAUAAGUUCUUGCCCUUAGAUAAGUAAAAUUUCAUGGGAAUCAGAACUGUAACACCCCAUCAUUUUAUCCUCAUACUCUAAUUAGAUGCUGACAUUGGUUAAAUGAGUUAAAUCGACUAUGUUGGUUUUGUGUGUGUUUUGUCAACUCAAAGCAAAUUUAAAUUAAGAGCCUUUAUGAGAAUUCUGCACUCCUUCUGGCAUGAGGCAUUAUCAUAUCAUAAUAGAUGCAAUUUAAAAGAUUAUAUCACUCCUAAUUCAUUCUCCCAGUUGUUUAGGAGACAAAUUUGGGCCCAUCAGUUUGAGUCGAAUGUUCUGUCUCUUGUCUCAGCUAUGUAAGUAACCAAGUAACUCUCAGUGAGUUGCUCUUAAAAUCUGAACACAGGCAACUGCAGGAUGCUGUGGCGGGAGCUGUGUUUUCAAAAUGGACAGGUGGCCCAAAUUGCAGUUCAAAUUCUGAAACACCUGUCCUAAGAAACAAGCAAAUAAGCCCCCUUUUCAGAACAGGGGUGCUUUACAUUUUCUAGAAAUUCACAGUUCUCUCCAUUUUCUCAAGUCAGGCGGCCAAAAUGAUUAGUUUCAAAAGCUUAGGCUAAAAUGUAAUUAAAAGUGAAAUUCUUAGAACUGAUUAUCCUUCUUAAAAUGGCUUACAUGUUCACAAACACUGGCUCUAGGCUGUACUCCGCUAUCUACUUUUAAAAUCUGCCUAUAACCUACAGCUGAAAAAUAAAUUGGGACAAUCAAUUAUGUCCUGUCUGUUUUAAUUCUGCAAUUGUAUCAAAACAGAUGGAUGAAUAAAGAUGAUUUGGCAACAAGAGUGUGGCACCACUUCAGAGGAUCAGGAACCUUCAAAGGUGAGAGGAAGGGCAAGAGAAGGGAAACUUACUCUUCUAUAUAAAUGUAAGAAAAGCAACAUACCAUAAUUCUGUGGCAGUUUUAAUCAUACUAAAAAACAUUAUUAGUCCCUCUAGGUAAGAAGGAGUUGAAAGAAAGUAAAUGAAAGCAGGGAAAAGUGGCUAGAAAGGGAGGAUAGUGAAAAACAAGAAAACACUCUGAAUAGCAAAAACACCACCCAUCUAAGUGAUUGAUGAAUUCAAAUACGACACAAAGAAAAAAUAGAGAAAAGCCAUUCUGAGCGAAAGUAGAUAUUGAAGUUUCAAGUUGCUUUUAACAAACUCAUCACCAGCUCUGAAGACCACUUAGCAUAUGGAAGACUGUACUUCAUUGGAAGCAAUUGCUUGUCUACAAGAGGUGCUUAACCAAAUGAAGCUAAAUCAACUUCUGCCAUCAAGUCUGCCAAAUAAAAGGAUUUAUUUGCUCAGAGUGCAGACCAGCUGAGUUUAGCAGAAGCUCAUGAGUAGUAAUCCGCAGAACAGUUCACAUACCAGCUUCUGAGAAUCCACCCCAGCAAAACACACAGCCCUUGUGACAGCUGUAUUUGAAUUAGAUUUAAACCCUUGGUUUGACUUGCAGAAGAGAGAAUUGGUGAUGAAAGAAAUGUUGGCAGUCGUUGUUUUUUGAGCUGCUGGAGUGAAGCAGGAUUGCCCCUGGGAUCCUGGAGAUAAGAACAAGAGAAUAGCACAAUAGACAAGUGAACCAAAGCCCAGCUAAAGCAAGGACUACAUCUCAGAGAAGCACUGAAGAUGCCACUUUUGCCAGGCAAUUCCAGGGAAAUUGGGAGAAGAACAGUGAUGUUCUGGGAUGAACAAGGAUCCUGAGCAAGGAUGUUACUGGAAUUCUGCAGUGACUCGGCUCAGAGUUCAAUCCCCAUUACCCACAGGUGCCAGGUUGAGAUCAUCACACUGAACAGAAACAGCUGGCCAGAAUCAAACACAAGCAGAAAGAAAUUAUGUUUGCAAGAGAAAAUAUCCUUUCUGGGAAGCAGUUGCUGCAGAGCUGUAUCCAGCGGUUGAGGGAGUGUACCAAGAGAUCCUGAAGGACAGACCACAAGUUCAGGACCUGCAUUCCUGUCUGAUAGACUGCACUGCCUGUAAGAGACCAUGGUAGGUCAGAGAGCCAUCAACUCCUCACCAACAAAGAUCUGACUCCAAUUACACCAGUUCUUGUCUUUCCGUACAAGAUUACAGAUGUAGAAUUUAACAGAGUGAGAAAUAACUAACCUCAAAACAAACUGCAAAACCUGAGAUUUUCUCCUGUUGCUUCUCCAAAAAUCCUGAAUUUUAAGUCUUUCCUUUCAUGACAGCCUUCAAGGUUAGGCCUGGGUCCACCCAUGCACUCAAGUUUUUCAUUGUAUUCUCAUUUGCUAUCAGAAGCUCUAUUUGGCACUGACAGCACUUGAGUAGAUGUGCUUCAUCUUUGCCAGGCUCAGGACAAAUUCCAUGGAAUUCAGUGACAGCUGAAUCCAUGCUGACAACAGCCCUAAGGCACUCACACUUUGGUGGGUCUGUACAGACACACAGCCAGAUCUCAAAAAAAAGCAAUCAGGUAAGUAAACACCUCAGCAACUUUUCUAAGGAAAGAAAUGGCAACAGAACUUUGUCAACUGGAUUGACUUUAAAUUGGCCAACAGAGGUCAUCUGGUUCAUUUCGAGCUGGGGAGAACACUCAGAUACUUCCGUGGUAAAGACAAGACAUUGCAUAGAAGAGGAUUUUUAACUACAGGUUUUGGCUGUCAGGCUGAACUACAUUUUUUUGUUAAACACCAGGUUGUGAGGAAUUUGAAGUCCAUAACAGGUGGCAGCAGGAACCUAGGACUCCAGUGUUGAAUUUGUUGCAUAUUCACUUUCUGAGAUUUAAGGGCACAAAGGAAGCACUAAAGAAAGUCAGGCUUGCCUGACAAAGCUGUCAAUGCUAUAUGCAGUAAAGGUGUAUACAUGACUGUAUAACAUGUGUGAAAUAAUAAAAUAAUAGGUAGUCUUAACAUAGGUUUUUCUCCCACCCUAAAGCACAGGCCUUGGGAAGAAAAGAAUGCACAUUAACCACAUAUUCCAGGAAAGAACUUCCUCUAGAUCCCAAGAGUUUUUGCUUGUAAAUUUGGAAGAUGAAUAUCCAAUUCCCAAUGGACUGCUUUAAAAAAUUCAGUUGCUAAGAAAAUAAUAACAAAAAUCAGGGACUCCAAGCCUGCACUUAAAGGACCUUAGCCGUCAACUGACAAAAUCAAGAUUAAAAUCAUAUUCAAAAUUAAUUAGAAAGAAUCAACUAUGCACUAGUUGUUCAGUUGAGUUUUUUCCCAUAAAAGUCAAGCUAAUGAGAAGGCAUAUAGAUAGAACAAGUGAAGGACUGACUGAUGUAAAAAUUAACCACUCCUGCUACAACCAAACACCAUUUUAGGGUGCCUGUGCAGUUGCUUUAUAAUACAGCUCAAUUCUGCUCUGUCACUUCAGAGGGGCAUUUUUUAUGUGUUUUUCUCCAUGUUGCUUUCUGGAAAUCUCAAUGUAGCACCUUUCCUCAACACAUGACCCCUCAGAGGAAGAAACAUUUUGGACAUUUAGUUGCUUCUUGGGUUCCUUGUGAUUCUCCCAUGUUUGCACAGGGAAGAGGCAGGAGGAGGAGGUGACACAAGGGCCUGUGUCCUAACACUCUUAGUGAUAACCUCACUUAAAAUGGGAUUUUAAAGUGCAUGGGAAAGGCUGUGGUUACAUUUAAACCCUUUUCCACUACCACCAUGUGUGCCCCUCCCCAGCAAACUGUGUCUGGAGUUACAUUAAAUCAGCAAUAAAUUCACCUUCUUUGCUCAUUUUUGAGCCUCAUCCUACUCCUCAAGAAGAAUUGUGCAGGCAAAACAGCCUGGUGGCAGACCCAGAGGCACACCAGAAAUGCUGGUGCUCUGACAUCAUGCAGGAGCUGAGGCCACAACCCAGGACAGCUCUGGUUUUUGCCAUAAUCUGCAAUUUCUCAGCAGGAAACUGUGUCCUGGCUUCUGCUUUACCACAGGUUUUGUAGGACAGCCUGAACCAACACCUUUCCAGGAUCAUGCUCAUCCUCGAGUUCACCUGUGCCCCAGGGUGGGCAGGAGCACCUCUUUUGAGUGUUGUUUCCCAAGGUUUCUGCAGCCAUCAAUUGUCAUGGCAGCACCUGCAUGUGGAGGGCACCAUUUGUUGUGUCCUGCAGGAUCCCAGCCAGGCUGUUUGUUAAGUAAAUCACCAUGGCACCAGACAAAUGGCUUUCAGGGAAAAGCACCUAGUAGCUGGCAUGCACUUCAGCUCAACCAUUUUGACAUUGGCUAUUACUGUGGGUUCAGACUGAAAGAAAUCCAAUUUUUCAUGGAAAGGAAAUCCUAAAAAUAUUUAGUAUGGCCCAUAAUUAAAUAUUCAUUAGGUUCAAACAAGGCCCACUUAUGCUGAAUUGUAACUACUUUUUCAGUUAGAGAUAGGUUAACAAAGGGAAGAAGGAAAGAAGAAAUUGUGGAUGUGUAUUUUGGGCAAACAAAUAGAGUAUUUUAGUCCAAAAAAUGCUAUACAACCCAUCCACCCCCAACAAGGUCUGAAACUUAUAUCUGCCACAUGCUUUUAUUUUGACAAAUUACCAUUUUCUAGGAGAGGGUCAGCCACCAGCUGUGCUCGCAUAAGGCGGAACUGUAUUUAUAGGACCCACUGCCCAGAAAUAAUUGCUACAUUGGUACCCAGCAUUGAAAUAAGCAAAAGGCAGAAAAUCAGAGGUGAAAAAUAGCAAAAGAGGAAACACUAGAUCAAGUAAAUCUGUUACAACACUCAGAUUCAAGUAGUCUGUGUCUUGGGUCAGGCAAAUAAUAAUUUAAACUUCUAGCUCACAAAAGGACUCAGGGUGUCAGAUAAUUAAGCCUUUAUGCAAAAAGCCAUUGAUUUCUGACCUGGGCAGUGAUUUCUUUUGCACUGGAAGGGGUUGAAACAGCAAACCAGAUUAUGGACAGCAAAUAAUUGCAAAUAAAUAAUGUUGCACCAGCAUCAUUAUCAUGUACUCGUGUCCCCUGAGACACAACAAGGACAGGUAUGUCUAAAGGCCCACACAGGUAGUACAAAUCACUGUACACAGGCAAGUUGUCCAGAUGUCUUUUGAAAAAAUCUACCAGACUCUAAGGGAAAAGGAUGGCUUUAUUUCUCAAGGUGUUACUUCUCUGUCUUCAUUAACCAGCCUGCCAGAAUUGCUGCCGUCUCCACAGGCUGCACAUCCACGGGCCUAGACCCACUGGCUCUAGAAUUUAAUGCAAAGCAUGCUUUCAGCAUAUUUCUGUGGUCCUGAAGAAAAGUUGCCUGCCUUCUGUUCUUUGAACAAAUGGAAUUGUUCAUACUUCCAGAAUAUCGAGUAUUUAUUUCAUAACAGUGCCGUAUUACAGUGAUGUAUGCUUACAAUAAAAAAAAUGCUGAAGUGA